UACGUAGGGGGCAAGCGUUGUCCGGAAUCAUUGGGCGUAAAGAGCGUGUAGGCGGUUCAGUAAGUCUGCUGUGAAAGUCCAAGGCUCAACCUUGGGAUGCCGGUGGAUACUGCUGAGCUAGAGUACGGAAGAGGCGAGUGGAAUUCCCGGUGUAGCGGUGAAAUGCGCAGAUAUCGGGAGGAACACCUAUUGCGAGGGCAGCUCGCUGGGACGUCACUGACGCUGAGACGCGAAAGCGUGGGGAGCAAACAGG
rnacentral:rRNA from 1 species